UUGAGCCUCACCAUGAGACUCCACGAGACUGUGGUGAAUGUUGCAUUCUGCUGUUCUCCCUUUGUCCAGCUUUUGCUGUUCUCUCCUCUCUCCUCUCCUCUCUUCUGGUGUAUCAUCUCUGUCGGAAAAAAGCUAAAGAACUUCAAGCUGAUCAGAGAAGACCUGAAACAAGCCCGCAUCAGGAUGAAGAUGUGUGUUAUGCUGCGCUGGAAAUCCGCCAGGCAUCACAGAGACCAAAGAAGAAGAAAACCCAGAGUUCUGACUUCAGCACCUAUUCAGCCAUCAAUACUUCUAGGGUGUAGAGAGUCUAAAACAAAACCACAACCAUUACUAUAAAACAUCUAAGGAUGGGAUCAAACCAAGCGCAACACCAAA